rnacentral:lncRNA from 1 species
AGAGUUAAACAUUCAUGCUUAAACUUAAUCAAUUUGGGUAUGUUUGCUUGCCAUAACAUGAGAAAUAAUUAGGGCUUAAUUAACCGUAGUUGUUUGAAGCAUGAUAACAUACCAUAUGUGCAUGUUAAAGUUGUGAGCUACAAUCACUUAGAGAUAAACUUGGUUGGUUUGUAUAAUUUCUUCAUCUCCAAACUUUAUGCAAUUAGGGUAAUGCAUUAGAUUCCUAAUCGGAUUGAAAUACAUGACUUAGGUAGUUAAGUGUUACACCUGAGAGGGGUUGCUUGAUAUCAACAAAAGAGAAUGUUAAGUUUGUGAGUGUUUGAGGAGUUUUUGAUUAGGUUUGGGAUUAAUCGGAGAUUGGUUAACUUGUUGGUUGUUAGACGAGAAAUCGGUUGUUGGGGUGACUUUGGAAUUAGCUUAAAUCUAUCAAAAUAUUAUGUUAGGAUUAUGUAAAGGUUUGACUCAAACACGUUUAGACUCCUCCUUUCAAAUACAACCAUAGAGCUCAAAAAAUCACUUCGACAUGGCACCACAAAUUAGCAUAGGGCAAGCCACCACAAAUUUUAGUAGCACAAUUUUCUCAAUACGCACUACAACUUCCUUAAUUAACACAAACAUCAAUUUCAAGUCUAAACAUGUCAAUCGAAGCAAAAAUAGAGAAACCCAAUUUGAAAACCCUAGAACUUCAACUCUUCGAUUCUCCUUACCAAGAAUGAAUUGGAUUAAACCCUUUUGAGGGUUUACUACCCUAGGUGAGUACUACAAGAUGAGACAAGAAUCCUCUUCAAUGGUGGCCGGAUGCAUGAGUUCCGGUGAGAGGUUAGCCAGGCUUGUAGAAGGGAUUUCUCUCACAUGUUUGAGUUGUAGGUUCGAUCACCAACACAGAAAGAUGAAGGAGGAGACGACAAAUCGAAUGAGACCAGUGCAGCGGUCUGAGCUGGUCGGACAGUGGAGAUCGGCGACAGUGAGUCGCUGGCAAAAGGAGAGGGAGAGGAAAUCGGGGAAGAGGGGANAGAGAGAGAGAGAGAGAGAGAGAGAGAGAGAGAGAGAGAGAGNNNN